GUACGAACGCUGGCGGCGUGCUUAACACAUGCAAGUCGAACGAUGAGGCCCAGCUUGCUGGGUGGAUUAGUGGCGAACGGGUGAGUAACACGUGAGUAACCUGCCCUUGACUCUGGGAUAAGCGCUGGAAACGGCGUCUAAUACCGGAUACGACCUACCCCGGCAUCGGGUGUGGGUGGAAAGUUUUUCGGUCAAGGAUGGACUCGCGGCCUAUCAGCUUGUUGGUGAGGUAAUGGCUCACCAAGGCGACGACGGGUAGCCGGCCUGAGAGGGUGACCGGCCACACUGGGACUGAGACACGGCCCAGACUCCUACGGGAGGCAGCAGUGGGGAAUAUUGCACAAUGGGCGAAAGCCUGAUGCAGCAACGCCGCGUGAGGGAUGACGGCCUUCGGGUUGUAAACCUCUUUUAGUAGGGAAGAAGGGCUUCGGCUUGACGGUACCUGCAGAAAAAGCACCGGCUAACUACGUGCCAGCAGCCGCGGUAAUACGUAGGGUGCAAGCGUUGUCCGGAAUUAUUGGGCGUAAAGAGCUCGUAGGCGGUUUGUCGCGUCUGCUGUGAAAACCCGAGGCUCAACCUCGGGCCUGCAGUGGGUACGGGCAGGCUAGAGUGCGGUAGGGGAGAAUGGAAUUCCUGGUGUAGCGGUGGAAUGCGCAGAUAUCAGGAGGAACACCGAUGGCGAAGGCAGUUCUCUGGGCCGUAACUGACGCUGAGGAGCGAAAGCGUGGGGAGCGAACAGGAUUAGAUACCCUGGUAGUCCACGCCGUAAACGUUGGGCGCUAGAUGUGGGGACCUUUCCACGGUUUCCGUGUCGCAGCUAACGCAUUAAGCGCCCCGCCUGGGGAGUACGGCCGCAAGGCUAAAACUCAAAGGAAUUGACGGGGGCCCGCACAAGCGGCGGAGCAUGCGGAUUAAUUCGAUGCAACGCGAAGAACCUUACCAAGGCUUGACAUAUACGAGAACGGGCCAGAAAUGGUCAACUCUUUGGACACUCGUAAACAGGUGGUGCAUGGUUGUCGUCAGCUCGUGUCGUGAGAUGUUGGGUUAAGUCCCGCAACGAGCGCAACCCUCGUUCUAUGUUGCCAGCACGUUAUGGUGGGAACUCAUAGGAGACUGCCGGGGUCAACUCGGAGGAAGGUGGGGAUGACGUCAAAUCAUCAUGCCCCUUAUGUCUUGGGCUUCACGCAUGCUACAAUGGCCGGUACAAAGGGCUGCGAUACCGUAAGGUGGAGCGAAUCCCAAAAAGCCGGUCUCAGUUCGGAUUGAGGUCUGCAACUCGACCUCAUGAAGUCGGAGUCGCUAGUAAUCGCAGAUCAGCAACGCUGCGGUGAAUACGUUCCCGGGCCUUGUACACACCGCCCGUCAAGUCAUGAAAGUCGGUAACACCCGAAGCCGGUGGCCUAACCUUUUGGAGGGAGCCGUCGAAGGUGGGAUCGGUGA
rnacentral:rRNA from 1 species